rnacentral:rRNA from 1 species
ACGCACGCUGGCGGCAUGCCUAACACAUGCAAGUCAAAGAGACCUUCGGGUCUUGUGGCCCCACGGUGCGGAAACCGUGGGAAACUUCCCUUAGGUUUGGAAUAACUUCCCCAAAAGGGGGCCAAUACCGGAUAAUGGUUUCCGACCAAAGAUUUAUCGCCUUUGGAUGGGCCCGCGUUGGAUUAGCUAGUUGGUAGGGUAAAAGCCUACCAAGGCGACGAUCCAUAGCUGGUCUGAGAGGAUGAUCAGCCACACUGGGACUGAGACACGGCCCAGACUCCUACGGGAGGCAGCAGUGGGGAAUAUUGGACAAUGGGUGAAAGCCUGAUCCAGCAAUGCCGCGUGAGUGAUGAAGGCCUUAGGGUUGUAAAGCUCUUUUACCCGGGAUGAUAAUGACAGUACCGGGAGAAUAAGCUCCGGCUAACUCCGUG